rnacentral:rRNA from 1 species
UACGGAGGUGGCAAGCGUUGCUCGGAAUCACUGGGCGUAAAGGGCGCGUAGGCGGGGAGGUAAGUCGGGUGUGAAAUCCCUCGGCCCAACCGAGGAACUGCGCCCGAGACUGCUUCUCUUGAGUCCCGGAGAGGAAGAUGGAAUUCCCGGUGUAGCGGUGAAAUGUGUAGAGAUCGGCAGGAACACCCAGGGAGAAAUCAGCCGCCUGGGCAAGUGCUGACGCUGAGGUGCGAAAGCGUGGGGAGCGAACCGG